ACCUAAUAGAUACCCUGGUAGUCCACGCCCUAAACGAUGCGAACUGGAUGUUGGGUACAUUACGGUACUCAGUGUCGAAAGCUAAACGCGUUAAGUUCGCCGCCUGGGGAGUACGGUCGCAAGACUGAAACUCAAAGGAAUUGACGGGGGCCCGGCACAAGCGGUGGAGUAUGUGGUUUAAUUCGAUGCAACGCGAAGAACCUUACCUGGCCUUGACAUCUGUCGAAUCCUGCAGAGAUGCGGGAGUGCCGCAAGGAACGACAAGACAGGUGCUGCAUGGCUGUCGUCAGCUCGUGUCGUGAGAUGUUGGGUUAACGUCCCGCAACGAGCGCAACCCUUGUCCCUA
rnacentral:rRNA from 1 species